rnacentral:rRNA from 1 species
CCUACGGGAGGCAGCAGUGGGGAAUAUUGGGCAAUGGGCGCAAGCCUGACCCAGCAACGCCGCGUGAAGGAAGAAGGCUUUCGGGUUGUAAACUUCUUUUCACAGGGACGAAACAAGUGACGGUACCUGAGCAAUAAGCCCCGGCUAACUACGUGCCAGCAGCCGCGGUAAUACGUAGGUGGCAAGCGUUAUCCGGAUUUACUGGGUGUAAAGGGUGAGUAGGCGGGUACGUAAGUCAGAUGUGAAAACCAUGGGCUCAACCUGUGGAUUGCAUUUGAUACUGUGAUUCUUGAGUACAGGAGAGGCAGACGGAAUUCGUAGUGUAGCGGUGAAAUGCGUAGAUAUUAGGAAGAACACCAGUGGCGAAGGCGGUCUGCUGGACUGCAACUGACGCUGAGGCGCGAAAGCGUGGGGAGCAAACAGGAUUAGAUACCCCAGUAGUC